UACGUAGGGUGCGAGCGUUAAUCGGAAUUACUGGGCGUAAAGCGUGCGCAGGCGGUCUGUUAAGACCGAUGUGAAAUCCCCGGGCUUAACCUGGGAACUGCAUUGGUGACUGGCAGGCUUUGAGUGUGGCAGAGGGAGGUAGAAUUCCACGUGUAGCAGUGAAAUGCGUAGAGAUGUGGAGGAAUACCGAUGGCGAAGGCAGCCUCCUGGGCCAACACUGACGCUGAACGGCGAAAGCUAGGGGAGCAAACGGG
rnacentral:rRNA from 1 species